AUGCUACCAUGCUGUUCGGUGGUGUUGCUGCUUGCUCCGAAUCAUGCAGCUUCUGCGGUAUCUCAGAGGAGACUUUCUGCUUCAGCUCCAGCAGCAGCUCCUUCCGCGUCUUCCCCUCUCUCGCAAACACCUUCUGUAGACUCCUCACCUGAUAACACCCAAAGCCAAAUCCCAAACGGAGAAGGUCAGAUAACUAGUGAUUCAGAACUGAUGGUUUUCAAAAGCUCGACUGGCGAAUGCGAAUUGACCAAGCAAUGCCCAGUUGCUCAAACCACGGCACAGCACUGCAAGACGGUUACGCCGAAAAUGCACUCGAUGUUUGCAUCGCGGUCGGCCACGGGAGCGGGGGAUUUGAGGUUUGGGGAGCAACGAGCGGCGGUUAAGUGGUGGUAA
rnacentral:rRNA from 1 species